UGACCAUUGAACUCAGUGUACUCCGGUGU
rnacentral:piRNA from 1 species